ACGGGAGGGGAUGGCUCCGCGGCCCAUCAGGUAGACGGCGGGGUGACGGCCCACCGUGCCGACAACGGGUAGCCGGGUUGAGAGACCGACCGGCCAGAUUGGGACUGAGACACGGCCCAGACUCCUACGGGAGGCAGCAGUGGGGAAUCUUGCGCAAUGGGGGGAACCCUGACGCAGCGACGCCGCGUGCGGGACGGAGGCCUUCGGGUCGUAAACCGCUUUCAGCAGGGAAGAGUCAAGACUGUACCUGCAGAAGAAGCCCCGGCUAACUACGUGCCAGCAGCCGCGGUAAUACGUAGGGGGCGAGCGUUAUCCGGAUUCAUUGGGCGUAAAGCGCGCGUAGGCGGCCCGGCAGGCCGGGGGUCGAAGCGGGGGGCUCAACCCCCCGAAGCCCCCGGAACCUCCGCGGCUUGGGUCCGGUAGGGGAGGGUGGAACACCCGGUGUAGCGGUGGAAUGCGCAGAUAUCGGGUGGAACACCGGUGGCGAAGGCGGCCCUCUGGGCCGAGACCGACGCUGAGGCGCGAAAGCUGGGGGAGCGAACAGGAUUAGAUACCCUGGUAGUCCCAGCCGUAAACGAUGGACGCUAGGUGUGGGGGGACGAUCCCCCCGUGCCGCAGCCAACGCAUUAAGCGUCCCGCCUGGGGAGUACGGCCGCAAGGCUAAAACUCAAAGGAAUUGACGGGGGCCCGCACAAGCAGCGGAGCAUGUGGCUUAAUUCGAAGCAACGCGAAGAACCUUACCAGGGCUUGACAUAUGGGUGAAGCGGGGGAGACCCCGUGGCCGAGAGGAGCCCAUACAGGUGGUGCAUGGCUGUCGUCAGCUCGUGUCGUGAGGUGUUGGGUUAAGUCCCGCAACGAGCGCAACCCCCGCCGCGUGUUGCCAUCGGGUGAUGCCGGGAACCCACGCGGGACCGCCGCCGUCAAGGCGGAGGAGGGCGGGGACGACGUCAAGUCAUCAUGCCCCUUAUGCCCUGGGCUGCACACGUGCUACAAUGGCCGGUACAGAGGGAUGCCACCCCGCGAGGGGGAGCGGAUCCCGGAAAGCCGGCCCCAGUUCGGAUUGGGGGCUGCAACCCGCCCCCAUGAAGUCGGAGUUGCUAGUAAUCGCGGAUCAGC
rnacentral:rRNA from 1 species